rnacentral:lncRNA from 1 species
GAUGAUGACUCACAAGAGGAGGGAGCAAUCAAAUGAAAAAAACAAAAAGAAAAAGGUUUUAUGGAUGACUUUGGUAUGAAGAAGCCAACACGUCAAAAUUAAACAACCCUUAAUCAAAUAUUCAAGAAAGAAGAGAGGAAUGAGGUUUGUCAAAUUAUUGCCUGUUUUUUCUAUACUAGUGCAAUUUAUUUCAAUUGUGUCAACAAUCCUAUAUUUUCACUUAUGGUUAAAAAAAUUGGAGAUUAUGGAAAAGGACUUGUGCCACCUUCUUACCAUGAGAUUAGGGAAAUAAUUUUAAAGAAGGAAGUGCAUGAGACAUUGAAUUUGCUUGAGGAGUUCAAAGAACAAUGGAAGAAGACCGGAUGUACAAUUGUGUCGGAUGGAUGGAGUGAUAAAAAAAGAGGUCUAUAUGUAAUUUUCUUGUGAAUAGCCCCAUUGGAACUAUUUUCUUGUCAUCCAUAGAUACAUUAGAUAUUUUCAAAAUCAGUCAAAAAGUUUUUGAAAUGUUAGAUGAGGUUGUGGAGAAGGUUGGAGAGGAAAAUAUUGUGCAAGUAGUAACGGAUAAUGCUUCCAAUUAUAAAUUGACUGGGAAAAUAUUAAUGGAAAAGAGAAAAAGAUUAUUUUGGACACCUUGUACAACACAUUGCAUAGAUUUGAUGUUGGAGGACUUUGAGAAGCACAUUCAACUUUAUCGUGCUACUAUUGCAAAAGGCAAAAAAAUUGUGGCAUAUACUUAUUCAAGAACUAAUCUUAUUCAUUGAAUGAAGGAGUUUACCAAAGGCACUGAACUUAUUAGGCUCGUGGUCACUCGGUUUGCAACUUCAUACUUGACAUUGAGAUGCCUUCAUGAGCACAAAGAUGCAUUGAUAUCUCUCUUUUCAUCAAAAAAGUGGAGGUCUAGUAGAUUUGCAAGUUUCAUUAAAGGGAAAAGAAUAGCUUCCAUAGUCUUCGACAAUUUCUAUUUCUGGGCAUAUGUUGUUGUGUGCUUGAAGGCUACAACACCUCUCAUUAAGGUACGUAGAUUGGUUGAUACCAAUGAGAAGCCAUCAAUAGGAUUCCUUUAUGAAGCAAUGGAUCGUGCCAUGAAGCAAAUUCAAAAGAAUUUUAACAAUAUUCAAAAGAGGUUAAACUUUAUUUUUAUUUUUCAAUACUUAUGUGAUUUGUCUAGUAUGUACCAAUUUUAUAAUAUUUGUAUUUUAAAAGUUUAGAUAUGAGCCUAUAUGGGACAUCAUUGAUAAACGAUGGGAAUCUCAGCUCCAUCACUGAUUACACUAUAAAAGUGCAAUUAUAGACCUUUAAUAUGCUCUUUGUUAGGCUUAGAAUAUGUAUAAUUGUAUUAUAUUAGUUGUAUAUUAUGAAUAAUCCUGAAUUGGUUCUCUUCUCAGAUUAUUAAUGCUAAAAGGAUGGAAUUGGAGCCUUAAUGAUAAUCCGAGACAUGCGACAUGCAUAUCGAGAAAAGUCUAUUAGGAAAAAUCUCGCAAAAAGGGGUCAUAUUUUUCUACAAAAGUCCAAUUGAGAUGAUGUUUACACCAUUGGAAAUAUCUCAUAAAGUUAUAAAUGUUUGCGUCUAACGUGCGUCGGCCAAUUUGGCUCUGAAGGACCUCAAAAUCAAGAAAAAGUCAAAACACGUGAAACUAACCAUUCGAACGCCUCUAUUACAGCGUUCAAAUGUCCAGUGAGAUGAAAUUUCAAUUUUUGGCUUGGCGUUCGAACUCCUGUUUGGACGUUCGAAUGCCUAGGCAAAAAUUGGAAUUUCACUAAAAACCUGUCUAUGUAUUUUAGCUAUAACUUUUGACUCUGAUGUCCGAUUAAGAUGAUUUUUGAAGUAUUGAAAAGAAGACAUCAAGUGAUACAACUUUUCCUCUAAAUGAGAAUUUACUGAAUCAAUUUUUAAGAUGGUCAAAAUCGCUAUUGAAAUUAAGCUGAUUUUGGCCUGGCAUUCGAACGCCCGUUUUGCCAUUCGAACGCCAAGGCAAUUUUUAGGCAAAAUUCUAGGGUUUUGAACCUUAGACCUAUAAAUAUGAAGUUUAAUUAUAAUUUUUAGGGGAUCAGAGAUAUUUUAGAGUGUAGGGACGGUGACCAUUUAGGGUUUUUGUUGUUUUUAGCUUAGAUUAUCUUGGAUUCAAGUAAGUAUUUGUCUUUUCUAAUUGUAAUCCUUUAGAUUCCAUUUUCAAUACAAGCUCUUUAAAUUUUCUUGCUUUAAAUUCAAAAUUUCUCUAGUUUCUUUGCAUUACAUCAAUAGUUUUAGUUUUAUUUCAAGUAUUUCAAUGCUUUCAUGAUGGAUUCAAAUGGCUAGUUGCUUGAAUUGGGUUCGAAUGUGAAAAUUACUCAAAGAAUCCAAGGGUUUCAAUGGAGGCAUCUUAUGAACUUAAUGCUAUAUUUUUCUAGAUUUUAAUUCUUAGUAAUUGCAUGUCAAAAUCUUAGAAAACUUAGAUUAUUGACUAAGUUUGGGGAUUUUAAUCACCCAAAUCAAUGGUAUUAAUUUAUGGCUCUUCACUAG